rnacentral:rRNA from 1 species
AUUGAACGCUGGCGGCAGGCCUAACACAUGCAAGUCGAACGAGUGGCGGACGGGUGAGUAAUGUCUGGGAAACUGCCCGAUGGAGGGGGAUAACUACUGGAAACGGUAGCUAAUACCGCAUACCAUCGGAUUUGCCCAGAUGUGAUUAGCUAGUAGGUGGGGUAACGGCUCACCUCGGCGACGAUCCCUAGCUGGUCUGAGAGGAGGACCAGCCACACUGGAACUGAGACACGGUCCAGACUCCUACGGGAGGCAGCAGUGGGGAAUAUUGCACAAUGGGCGCAAGCCUGAUACAGCCAUGCCGCGUGUAUGAAGAAGGCCUUCGGGUUGUAAAGUACUUUCAGCGAGGAGGCGUUACCCGCAGAAGAAGCACCGGCUAACUCCGUGCCAGCAGCCGCGGUAAUAG